rnacentral:rRNA from 1 species
AGGGAGCGAGCGCUAUCCGGAUUUAUUGGGUGUAAAGGGUGCGUAGACGGGCAAACAAGUUAGUUGUGAAAUACCUCUGCUUAACUGAGGAACUGCAACUAAAACUAUUAGUCUUGAGUACUGGAGGGGAAAGCGGAAUUCCUAGUGUAGCGGUGAAAUGCGUAGAUAUUAGGAAGAACACCGGUGGCGAAGGCGGCUUUCUGGACAGUAACUGACGUUGAGGCACGAAAGUGUGGGGAGCA